UACGUAGGGGGCAAGCGUUGUCCGGAUUUAUUGGGCGUAAAGAGCUCGUAGGCGGUUUGUCGCGUCUGCUGUGAAAACUCGAGGCUCAACCUCGGGCUUGCAGUGGGUACGGGCAGACUAGAGUGCGGUAGGGGAGACUGGAAUUCCUGGUGUAGCGGUGGAAUGCGCAGAUAUCAGGAGGAACACCGAUGGCGAAGGCAGGUCUCUGGGCCGCAACUGACGCUGAGGAGCGAAAGCAUGGGGAGCGAACAGG
rnacentral:rRNA from 1 species